AUGGCCUGGACGCUGCUCCUCCUCCUGCUCCUCCCUCACUGCCCAGACAUCUGCACCUUGAGCAGUGGCUUCAGUGUUGGCAGCUAUUACAUACAUUGGUUCCAGCAGAAGCCAGUGAGCCCUCCUCUGUAUCUCCUGUACUACUACUCAGACUCAAAUAAGCACCAGGGCCCUGGGAUCCCCAGCCGCUUCUCUGGGUCCAAAGAUGCCUUGGCCAAUGCAGGGCUUCUGCUCCUCUCUGGGCCGCAGCCUGAGGACAAGGCUGACUCUUCCUGUGCUACAGCUCAUGGCAGUGGGAGCAGCUUUGGCUACUCCCAGUGA